GACUCGGGGCAGCACCGGCGCGGGCCGGGCAGCAGUGGGCGCUCGCGAUCCUCCUCUGCCCAACGCGCUCUCCCUCAGCGCCCGCCUCCUCCGUCCCCUCCUCCCUCUCCUGCCCCUCCUCCUGCCCCUCCCCUCCUCGGGUCUGAUAACCUAGCCUCGCGCCUGCAAAGUCCCCGGCUCGCGGGCAGCCACGAACCUCCGCCACUGCCUGGUCUCAGUGGGUGCCUGCGCCCGUGCCUCACCCGCCUGCCCAGGUCGUCUCGAGGCUCGCUCCGCCGGCCGCCGGUGCUCCACGGCGCUGCCCAUGGCCAAGCCCGAGAGCCGACUUCGGGCGCCAGACCUGCUGGAAGGUGGCGCGGCUCAGAUGAAAAGAAAAUGAGCUCAGCGAAGGAAAGUGACUUGCCCAAAGGCACACAGGAAUAUGUGGACAGCUGGCUCCUCAUUUAGAGCAGGGCAAGGAGAGUUCCGGCUGCCUGUCCUGAAGGGCCAGGGGGAGGAUGGAUGAGAGAGUGGAUAAUAAACGUCAGUGCUGCUGUCGGCUCUCAGCGGAGGGCACGAACUGUGUCAGUGAACAGCAUCACUCUGCUCUUCCCUAACAGAAGCAUAAAUAUGGCCCUUCUCUGCAAUGAGCAAUUUCCUUAGCUCUGCUGACACAACGGGAAAUAUCCUCAACGAGAAAAUUAAAUAUUGGUGUCACAGGACUAUUAGAGAAGCAAAUAGCAUCCCACACUUCCUCCUCCCUCCCUCCUUUUGAAUCUCCACCUUUUCUCAGGCUGGCAUGAAGCCCUGAAGAGGGUCCCAGGUCCCAGCUAUGAAAGUGAAGAUUUUUGAGAUGUCUGGGACUCGGCUUUGUAAGAUAACAGAUGAAGAAGUGACAGUGACAACUCUUUGUUGUUAUCUUCUGAUAAUGCAAGUGUUGCGUCAACACAACAAGUUUCUUUUAAGUCAUUGGUGAGCUGGAGAAAAGAAGACAGAAAGGAACCUGCAAGUACCAUCAACCAUCUGAAGGCCAGUCAAGUGGAAGUGGAUUAGAUGUGUGCUCUGUCACUUUGGAGGACAGAAUAGAUCUUUGGAUGGGAGUUAUAUGGAGUCUAAGUUUUAUUGAAUUAAAGAAAAACAAUUUACUGAAUGUAAGGAAAAAUAUUCAUGGUGUCAAACAAUAGAUGGGCUGCUCUUGUAUUUUAAGUUGAUUUCCAAGAAGCAGCCUCUGAUAUGAUGAUGAGCACAAAAGCAAAUCAGAGACAUGGGAAGGAAGUAAGAUGAGGAAGGAGAGGAGGCCAAGGAAGUAUAUGAUAUCAAGUAUAAGAUAUACCCACACUUGGAGGGUAGCUUUGGCUCAAUCCCACAGGGGAGCCUUGGACACAGUGAAGGGCACAUUCCAGAGUUCCUGAAUCAGGGGCAAGGGAGCUGGAGUAGUUAUACUCCUGCACUCAUCAUUAGUUAAGCCCUAGGAUGACAUACAUUCCCAGGUACUUCUGGGUCUUUUUGCCUUAUGCCUAUAGGCAGUGAAGGCUCUGGUAGCCUGAAGGCAGCCCUCCAAUUGCUGCUGUUGGUAGCAGAAGCACAUGAAAGCUGGUGGACACAAAAAUAGUUAAAGGGAUCUGAUGGAAUAUAGAUGGAACACUGACAUCAUCUGCUAAGCUUUGUCUGUAGUAAAAUCCCAUUUCUGAGGAGAUCCAGGCAGAGGCUGACAACUAAAGAUAUGGUCUCUCGACACCUAUUUUAACUCAGAGUCUUUAACAAAGACUUUCUUUAGAAUGAAACAUUAUCAUUGCUUGGUUUCAUUUGGCGCUUUUAAAAACCAAGUGCCUGGAGAAAGCCUUCCCCUAAAUACAUAACCUGGUCUCCAGUUGACCUGCUCUUUGGCUACUCAGUGGACUGUAGCUUCAGACAGACUUGGUUUCUCUUUCCUGCUCUACUCUCUUUGGGCUGAAUCAGACAAAUCACCUAACAUCCUUGUUCUUCAAUUACUUCAGCUAUAAAAUGGAGCAAAUAAUAAUUACCUCUUAGGUCUAAUAACAAUAUCUCUAUAUCUGGCUCACACUAGGUAUAUAUAUAUGUGUGUGUGUGUGUGUGUGUGUGUGUGUAUACUACAUGCAUUCCUUCAUUCUCAAUUUGAGGCAGUAGAAAUUAAAGCAGAAAGAUUAAGUCGCAUCUCAAGUCUCUUGGAGAGAGUGGGGAUUAUUCCUAUUCUACUGACUCUUUCUCCAGCACAAUUUCUAAUUUAUCAUUUCACAUGGAAAUAAGGAUAUGGAUAAGGCCAGAUAGAGUGUAGAAAAACAAUAGAUCAAAACCCAGUGUCACUGCUGGUGUUGUGGCGGUUUUUAUCAUCCAUAUCUUCUAUUUACUAGCUAUUGGACCUUAAGAAAUUACUUAUGUUUUCUGUGCCUCAGUUGUCUCUACUCCAAAACAUGAACAUUGGGCUACAUGGACAUAAAGUUCCCUUUGGUUCUAACCACCUACGAUUCUAGGAGGCAAAGAGGGGACAAAGGCAUGUAGGUGCUAGAAGUCUAAGUGUAGUGAUAUGGAUGGAGUUGUAUAAUAUUUCCUCAAGAGGUCAAAAGCCUCUGUUGCCCAUAGGGGGAAAAUAAUAAAACAUAGCCUGCCUACCGAUGGAACUUGCAUUUUCUGAUUGCUGGUUGGAUUUAGACUUAUUUACUUGUUUCUCUUCAAGGGUAUUUCCAAUCCUGAGGUUAACGAUUAACAAAACCAUAAUUCAAACAACUUACCUGAGAGGCACUGAGUAUAUGUAUCUAAGAGAGGAAAAUCGGCUGCAAAUGAAACAGAAUAUUUGUGCAGUGAGCUCCUCUUCCCACAGAUGCUGGGAGGUUACAAUGCCACAACUGAAUAGCUGUUUGAAAUAGUUCACUAAAUUACUCUGUUGGGUACCCCUUAUUAAACAAUCUGCUUCAGAAAGUUCUUUUGUUUUCUUCUUCUUUCUUUUCUUUUUUCCAGGGCUGGCAAAGUCUUACAAUUUCAUUAUGCUGGGGGGCUUGGUGCUGUCUCUUUUGAGAGAUAUGUCUGCUUGGCAAGUGGCCCGAAUUACCUUCGUUGGUGGGCCUUGAUAAGUGUCUCUGAACGAAGGGAAAACAAUUUGUACAACUCUUCCAGUCAAUUGGAGGCUGAACUGUGGGACUGAACAAAGCUCCAAAGUGCCAAUUUGCCCUUAUCAGGUGCAGCAGAGAAAAUGUGAUGGCCGUUACUGGGAGAAUAGGCAAGUACUCCCAACAAAAUGAGAAAACAGUUAUUGGACCAGUUUUAUGAAUCCAGAGCUAGUUCUGCAGCAAUUUUCAUACAAUUAUGAUAUGUUAGUAUUGCCUCACCAUAUGGCUAGUCAUUGAUCAUUUUGCCAUGAUAUUAAUUUAAUAUGUA